AACACGGUGACCGCCCCACUUGCCCCACCUAGUCCACCACCUCCACCUGCUUAGUGAAAGGUUUUCAAGGAGCACCAAGCACCAGCUCCAAGAGGCAACCAGCAUGAGAACCAAUGCACACCUUCACCAUACUGCCUAAUCUUCGUCUGUUAAAGGCUCAGACGUGUGGAUGGAAGGAGUAGGAGGAAGAAGAAGGAGUAACAAUGGAGAAGGAUG